GAUGAACGCUGGCGGCGUGCUUAACACAUGCAAGUCGAACGGAAAGGCCCAAGCUUGCUUGGGUACUCGAGUGGCGAACGGGUGAGUAACACGUGGGUGAUAUGCCCUGCACUUCGGGAUAAGCCUUGGAAACUGGGUCUAAUACCGGAUAGGACGAUGGUUUGGAUGCCAUUGUGGACAGUUUUUUCGGUUUGGGAUUAGUUCGCGGCCUAUCCGCUUAUUGGUGGAGUAAUGGCCUACCAAGGCGUCGGCGGGAAGCCGGCCAGUGAGGGUGUACGGCGACACUGGGUCCGAGGGAAGGCCCAGACGGGGACGGGAGGGAGAUGGGGGGAAUACUGAACAAGGGGCGCCAGCUGGAUGCAGAGAGGCUGCGGGUGGGAGGACGGCCUUAGGGGGGAAAAAGCAAUGCGCUAGGGACGAUGCGCGUUGUGACGGUACCUGGAGAAGAAGCACCGGCUAACUACGUG
rnacentral:rRNA from 1 species